GUAUCUAAGAUCCCUAAUGAGGUUUCCACAGUCGCAGCUACUUUCACAGCAGGACAGCUGUUUCUUCCUUGAAGCCUCUCAUGCUGUGACCCAGCCUGUUGCUGUAAUUCCAUCAUUUCCCUGGGCAUGAUGCCCCCAUUUAGAGUGUCUUCGCAUUACCUGACAUGGAUUGGUGCAGACCAUGGGCCCUCCUUUAGUAGCCAUGAUGCACCCUCAGCUCCUGAUGAUGCACCCACAGGGUGUGUGCCUUGAACCAACCUGCUGAACUAAAGGAGAAAGAUACAGAUGAAGCCACAUAUGACCUGAUGAGUCUGCUGAUGAUUCUGAGGCUAUGGAAAUUGGUGAUGUAGAACUUUAAGCUGAAGAUUCUAUUCUGCUCAAAAAGCACAGAUGAGGACUUGUUCGAGUUGCACACGGUGGAGUUGGAGCUGGAGGCUGUGAAGAAACAGAUCCGAGAAAAAGGUGAAAAAAAGACAGAGAAAAAAAGAGAAAAAAUGCAUAGAAUGCGGCACGCCCAGGUAUCGUUCACUCAGGGGCACCAUGGACCCUGAAAGCUGCAGCAGCGAAAGACACAAGCCAAGCCCGGUUUGAGGACAUCUCCACCGUCACCGGCCUUCGAGAUCUCGACUAAGAACCACUUCGCCCCUCUCCACGAGACGGAACGGGAUACUGUGAUUCUUGGAGAUUCCAUUGUCUGGGAUGUAUUUAAUACUGGAGCCAAAGUCGAUGCAGUCGAUUUCGCUGCGCAGGUACCCGCAAACCUGAAAGAGAACUUCGGAGCUGGUGUCCUUAAUGCCAGAAGGAACGACACCAGGCUGAGGCAAACUGAGAUCUUAAAAAGAGAUUCCAGAUUCCUGGUGGAGACGGUACCCAGCACAUCACCCACAUCACUUGCGCUACUGCUCAUCGCUAGUGGAGUUUGUGACUGUUAGAUGCAGACUUUUUAUUUACCACAGGAAUUCACCACUGUUUUCAUUGUCGGAGUGUACAUUCCACCCAGCGCUAAUGCUAAGGAGGCACUGUGUGAACUCUAUUCUGCAGGGCGCUAUUAGCUCACCCCGACGGAUUGUUUAUUAUCGCCGGAGAUUUCAACCAUGUGAAUCUCAGGUCUGUGCUCCCUAAACUCGACCAGCAUGUUGACUUUGCAACAAGAGGAGCGAACACGCUGGAUCUUGUUUACACAAACAUCCUCGGCGCAUAUCGUGCGGAGCCCCGC